rnacentral:tRNA from 1 species
AGUAAGUUAUAAAAAUUUUUGAUAAAAAUUUUUCGAUUUAAUCACUUACUA